rnacentral:piRNA from 1 species
UAAUUUUAAUUUUAGCCCUACCCUACCUAC